AACCAUAGAAACCUGCGGAGUACCUGCGGAAGGAUCAUUACAGAGUUGCAAAACUCCCACAAACCAUCGCGAAUCUUACCCGUACGGUUGCCUCGGCGCUGGCGGUCCGGAAGGCCCUCAGGCCCCCGGACCCUCGGGUCCCCCGCUCGCGGGGGGCUGCCCGCCGGAGUGCCGAAACCAAACUCUUGAUAUUUUAUGUCUCUCUGAGUAAACUUUUAAAUAAGUCAAAACUUUCAACAA
rnacentral:misc_RNA from 1 species